rnacentral:rRNA from 1 species
GAUGAACGCUGGCGGCGUGCCUAAUACAUGCAAGUCGAGCGAACAGACGAGGAGCUUGCUCCUCUUACGUUAGCGGCGGGCGGGGGAGUAACACGUGGAUAACCUACCUAUAAGACUGGGAUAACUUCGGGAAACCGGAGCUAAUACCGGAUAAUAUAUUGAACCGCAUGGUGCAAUAGUGAAAGACGGUUUUGCUGUCACUCAUAGAUGGAUCCGCGCCGCAUUAGCUAGUUGGUAAGGUAACGGCUUACCAAGGCAACGAUGCGUAGCCGACCUGAGAGGGUGAUCGGCCACACUGGAACUGAGACACGGUCCAGACUCCUACGGGAGGCAGCAGUAGGGAAUCUUCCGCAAUGGGCGAAAGCCUGACGGAGCAACGCCGCGUGAGUGAUGAAGGUCUUCGGAUCGUAAAACUCUGUUAUUAGGGAAGAACAAAUGUGUAAGUAACUAUGCACGUCUUGACGGUACCUAAUCAGAAAGCCACGGCUAACUACGUG